rnacentral:rRNA from 1 species
UACGGAGGGUGCAAGCGUUAUCCGGAUUCACUGGGUUUAAAGGGUGCGUAGGUGGGUCUGUAAGUCCGUGGUGAAAUCUCCAAGCUUAACUUGGAAACUGCCAUGGAUACUAUAGGUCUUGAAUACCGUGGAGGUGAGCGGAAUAUGUCAUGUAGCGGUGAAAUGCUUAGAUAUGACAUAGAACACCGAUUGCGAAGGCAGCUCACUACACGAAUAUUGACACUGAGGCACGAAAGCGUGGGGAUCAAACAGG